AUGCCUGUGAUGAAAUCUUUUACAAAAAUACCAUCUUUCGGGACUGAAUGGCCUUCUUGGCCUUGCUGUUAUUCUGCAAUUCUGAGGCAU
rfam:Morus notabilis contig8989, whole genome shotgun sequence.